rnacentral:rRNA from 1 species
GACAGAGGUGCCAAGCGUUAGGCGGAAUCACUGGGCUUAAAGCGUGUGUAGGUGGUUUUGUAAGUACCUUGUGAAAUCCCAUGGCUCAACCAUGGAACUGCUCGGUAUACUGCGAAUCUUGAGCCACUUAGGGGCUACCGGAACAAAUGGUGGAGCGGUGAAAUGCGUAGAUAUCAUUUGGAACGCCAAUGGUGAAAACAGGUAGCUGGGAGUGUGCUGACACUGAGACACGAAAGCCAGGGGAGCGAACGGG